GACGAACCGAGCGAACGUUGUUCGGAAUCACUGGGCAUAAAGGGCGCGUAGGCGGGCCGUCAAGUCAGGGGUGAAAUCCUCCAGCUUAACUGGAGAACUGCCUUUGAUACUGACGGCCUCGAGUGAGGUAGGGGCGUGCGGAACUGAUGGUGGAGCGGUGAAAUGUGUUGAUAUCAUCAGGAACUCCGGUGGCGAAAGCGGCACGCUGGACCUUUACUGACGCUGAGGUGCGAAAGCGUGGGGAGCAAACAGG
rnacentral:rRNA from 1 species